AAUACAAUGAGGUAACAAUUAUUGGAACACUAGGAAGAAAAUGCCAAAUAUACCAGGCAUGUUUGUGAAUAGAUCGCAGUUUUUAUAUCUGAAUCUUUAAAUUUAUGUAGAAAAAUAGAUGAAUAUUAGUAAAAGGGAAGGCAGUUGUCAUAGAGGACAUUUUCUCUUCUCAACAGAACAUUAGAACUCAUUGCAAGAGCAUGUCAAGACAGGACCAAAGUGGACUCACACCAUUGCCUUCGGUGAACCUUGAAAAACUUAUCAACACCAAGAACCUGGCCAAGUUAAUGCAAAAGUGUGAAAGAAUGUCUUUCUCUGCUCAACUGAGGAAGUGUUUGGGGAAAUGCCUUUGCUGUAGCUCAGCCUUUGGCAGUCAUCCCUUGUGGAAGAAUACUGAGACCCAAGAAAAGAGGCUGCAAAUGACAUUCCAGCCCACAGCUUAAUAAUUUCAGAAAACUCUGUUGCUU
rnacentral:lncRNA from 1 species